rnacentral:rRNA from 1 species
UACCGAGUUUACAACUCCCAAACCCAAUGUGAACGUUACCAAACUGUUGCCUCGGCGGGAUCUCUGCCCCGGGUGCGUCGCAGCCCCGGACCAAGGCGCCCGCCGGAGGACCAACCAAAACUCUUUUUGUAUACCCCCUCGCGGGUUUUUUAUAAUCUGAGCCUUCUCGGCGCCUCUCGUAGGCGUUUCGAAAAUGAAUCAAAACUUUCAACAACGGAUCUCUUGGUUCUGGCAUCGAUGAAGAACGCAGCGAAAUGCGAUAAGUAAUGUGAAUUGCAGAAUUCAGUGAAUCAUCGAAUCUUUGAACGCACAUUGCGCCCGCCAGUAUUCUGGCGGGCAUGCCUGUCCGAGCGUCAUUUCAACCCUCGAACCCCUCCGGGGGGUCGGCGUUGGGGAUCGGCCCUCCCUUAGCGGGUGGCCGUCUCCGAAAUACAGUGGCGGUCUCGCCGCAGCCUCUCCUGCGCAGUAGUUUGCACACUCGCAUCGGGAGCGCGGCGCGUCCACAGCCGUUAAACACCCAACUUCUGAAAUGUUGACCUCGGAUCAGGUAGGAAUACCCGC